rnacentral:rRNA from 1 species
AUAUUUAAGUCUAAUCUGCCCACUGAUUAAAAUUAAAGGGCUGCAGUAUAUUGACUGUACAAAGGUAGCAUAAUAAAUAGUCUUUUAAUUGAAGACUUGUAUGAAAGAUUUGAUGAAAUAUAAACUGUCUCUAAAUUAAUAAUUGAAAUUAAUUUUUUAGUUAAAAAGUUAAAAUAAUUUAAAAAGACGAGAAGACCCUAUAGAGUUUAAUAAUAAUAAAUUUUUAAUAUUUAAUAUAUAAAAAUGAAUUUAAAAAUUUAUUUUUAUUUUGUUGGGGUGAUAGAAAAAUUAAAAUAACUUUUUUUAAAAAAAAAAUUACAUGAAUAAAUGAAUUUAUGAUCCAUAUUUUAUGAUUAAAAGAAAAAAUUACCUUAGGGAUAACAGCGUAAUUUUUUUUUUUAGUACAAAUAAAAAGAAAAGGUUGCGACCUCGAUGUUGGAUUAAGAUAAAAUUUAAAUGUAAAAGUUUAAAAUUUGAUACUGUUCGAUCAUAAAAUCUG